GAUGAACGCUGGCGGCGUGCCUAAUACAUGCAAGUCGAGCGAACAGACGAGGAGCUUGCUCCUCUGACGUUAGCGGCGGACGGGUGAGUAACACGUGGAUAACCUACCUAUCUGACUGGGAUAACUUCGGGACACCGGAGCUAAUACCGGAUAAUAUAUUGAACCGCAUGGUUCCAUAGUGAAAGACGGUUUUGCUGUCACUUAUAGAUGGCUCCGCGCCGCAUUAGCUAGUUGGUAAGGUAACGGCUUACCAAGGCAACGAUGCGUAGCCGACCUGAGAGGGUGAUCGGCCACACUGGAACUGAGACACGGUCCAGACUCCUACGGGAGGCAGCAGUAGGGAAUCUUCCGAAAUGGGCGAAAGCUUGACGGAGCAACGCCGCGUGAGUGAUGAAGGUCUUCGGAUCGUAAAACUCUGUUAUUAGGGAAGAACAAAUGUGUAAGUAACUAUGCACGUCUUGACGGUACCUAAUCAGAAAGCCACGGCUAACUACGUG
rnacentral:rRNA from 1 species